UGGGGAAUUGUUCGCAAUGGGCGCAAGCCUGACGACGCAACGCCGCGUGGAGGAUGAAGAUCUUCGGGUCGUAAACUCCUUUCGAUCGAGACGAAUGGCCCUUGGGCUAACACCCUGAGGGAGUGACGGUACCGAGAGAAGAAGCCCCGGCUAACUCCGUGCCAGCAGCCGCGGUAAUACGGGGGGGGCAAGCGUUGUUCGGAAUUACUGGGCGUAAAGGGCUCGUAGGCGGCCAACUAAGUCAUACGUGAAAUCCCUCGGCUUAACCGGGGAACUGCGUCUGAUACUGGAUGGCUUGAGUUCGGGAGAGGGAUGCGGAAUUCCAGGUGUAGCGGUGAAAUGCGUAGAUAUCUGGAGGAACACCGGUGGCGAAGGCGGCAUCCUGGACCGAUACUGACGC
rnacentral:rRNA from 1 species